ensembl:lncRNA
AUGGACAGCAUCGCCAGGGUCGUAAGUGUGAUUUAUAAGCAGUGGAGUAUCGAAUUUAAGCUCAAAAACUUUUAUCUUGCCAUAGCAAGGCUGCUUGAGCUUGGGGAGACUGAAUGCCCAGUGGAUGUUAUACAUCCAGGAAUAUGGGAAAAAUGCACAGCCACGCUGGCCGAGGACACAAAAUCCUCAGGCAGUGGCAGGAGCCUUAAGGCAUGGGGCAAAGUAGAGAAAGCCCCGCGCAGGGCAAUAGAAGAGCAGGAGACGCGGAGUGCAGCGCGUAUGUGUUUAUUAGUUAGACCCGGGCUCGGGGUGGGGGCGGAAGCGCAGACCGUCCCUGAGGAUGAUCCGCCCGGGAACGGAGACCCGGGGGGACCCGGCGCAUCACCUCCCUCCUCAGAUCAGAGCCCAACCCCUGCCGCGGGAGCCCCCCGAAAAACCGCGGCUUCCCCGUCUGUCCCGCCACCACCGGUCAGCGACCCGUUGCCGGAGGUACAGCGGCACGCAGAGUGCUUCUGGCAGGAGCUGGCAGGGGAAGCCACAGUCACAGAAACCGCGGCUCGGGUGGAGACGCUAACCAUGCUGCCACCUCAGCCCUUUGAAAAUGGCGCUGGCCGCCAAGGAGAGGGGCAGGGCGUGGGCGGUCUUGGCGCGAAAAGCUGGGAGACGCGCGAUCUCAGAAACGCACAUGCGCGAGAGAAAGAGGCAGAGGGCGGCAGAGAGCACGGAGCCAAUCGGCAGCUGCACCUGAGGCCGCUACCAUUUAAGGGAGAGACCUCCCCCUGCAGGAGGCAGGGUGAGCCGGGGGGGCGGGAGCGGCGCCACCCCCGCGGGGAGGAGCGAGCUCGGAGCCGGACAAAAAGGCACCGAGCCCCGGAAGUGCGCUGGCAUUCAACUUCCGACUCGGAGUCCGGCAGCAGCUCCGCCAGCUCGGAAAAGCUGACGGAGGCCAGCUGGAACUCUGAGACAGAGGAAACGGAGACAAUGCGAUUUAAGACAAAACCGAGUAAAGUUCUAAGCCGCACUGAAAAACAACUACAGUACGAACCAGCCCAGUUUACCGACUGGGGGAAAAUAAAAGUAGCCUGUGCUGAAUGGUCCCCAGCGGCUGCCAUACAAGCUUUCCCGGUGAGGCUCACCAGUCCGGAGGGGAACCAACAAAGGGUAUAUACCCUGAUAAACCCAAAAGAUGUACAGUCAAUUGUCAAAGCCAUUGCGGAAAAAGGAAUCAAUUCGGCCAUAGUCUCCACUUUAAUCGAAGGUCUUUUUAGUAAUGACGACCUGCUUCCCUUUGAUAUCGAGCGAAUAGGUCGCAUGAUACUUGAUGGUGCGGGAAUGAUUGUCUUCAGACAGGAAUGGGAGGAUAAUUGUAGGAAGCAGUUAGCCCAAGCAUCUGGCGCGAGGCAGCCACUACACAGAUCGAGCUUAUCCAGACUGAUAGGAAAGCAUGAUGAUAUGAUCACGCCGCAGCAACAAGCCACGCAGAUGCAGGCUGAGGAGGUCAGGGCGACCACUAGGGCUGCCAGGGAGGCUAUUAGCGCAGCCUCUCGAGUCGUGGCUAAGCCGGCGCCGUGGUCCACCGUGAGGCAGGCAGAGAGCGAAAGCUUCACGCAGUUUGUGGAUCGCCUGCAGGCAGCGGUAGACCCCUCUACCCUGCCGGCAGAGGCAAAGGGCCCCGUGGUAGCUGACUGCCUGCGCCAGCAGUGCAACUCUGUCACCAAAGAUAUCUUACGCUCCCUGCCAGCUGGAGCUAGCCUGGCUGACAUGAUCAGACAUGUAGUAAGGGAAGAGCACCUGACGCCCAUUCAGGCAGCCGUCCACACCCUGACCAGUGCCAUGGCGUGCUUCAAGUGUGGUGAGGCAGGUCACAUCGCAGUGAGCUGCCCCCAGCCGGCACGGCGGCCCGCCGCGGCGCCUCCACCCCAAACACGCCUGAGAGGAUCCUGUUAA